AGAGCUGGGCGUCCUGCAUCUGCUCUCCGGCCCUGGGGGUCUUUUCCGGCCUGCGCUGCUCUGGUGGCUUUUCUUUGCUCCUUGCUUGGUGGUGAAUACGUGGCAUUCCUCUGCUUUAAAUGGAAAUAAUUUGCAAAUACCACUCCAUCUCCCGGUCCUGAGCAAGGAUUGUGCCUCUGUCUUAUUUGCAAAAGUAGAGAGAAAAGCUGAGAGACUUCUCCCAUGGAGUAAACCUGGAAUGAAAUCACAGACUCGCAGACAACGAGGGCUGAAGGGACCUCAGGAGGUCACAUCUAGUGCAACCCCCUGCUCCAAGCAGGACCAGCCCCAACUACAUCAUCCUAGACAAGGUCUAAUCAGGUCUGCAACACCUUCAAGGAUGGAGAGUCCACCACCUCUCUAGCUCUUGGUUGACUGAGGAGUUUUGAAGGCUUCUGGUGAACCAGGAGAACCACGACAAGACCAGCCCGACCUGCCACAGCUGGAAAUACCUGCUGGGCGACCUCGGGUAAGGUACGCAGUCUGGAAAACACAGACCCCGUUGUAAAGCAUGGCAAGAGACACGGAUGAAAACACAGCAGUAGCAUUACGGGGUGGCACCACGGCUGUUUGCUCCGAGUGGUGCAUCUUGCUUUGUGCAUCCCUUUCCCCAACUCCAGAAAUACACACCCUCUAACUCAGAGCGUGGCAAGCAGCACUGCCCUCUUCGCAUGCUGGGAACCAGCAAUUGAAUGUCCUUGGGCUGCCUUUUUCUGAGUUUGAUGAGUCGGGGAGAGAGCACUAGAUGAUAUCACGGCCUCCCUGGCUGUGUCCCAAAGAGCUAAGAUAGGGAUCUAGGGUUGCUAAUGAAACCUUUCGUACCCUGUCUGUUUUCCUCUCCCACCUAUUUAUUAAUGCUCCUUUCCCACUUUUAACAUGUCUGCAGAGUAGGACAAGUCCGCUCUUGUAACAUUGCUGAAAAGGAUGCCUUCGCAGCCCGGUGUCAGUAGAGGCUGGCUAGGUUUUGGGGAGCUUGUCCAGGUUAUGAAACACUGCAAUGCACAAUGUUCCUGCCAUUGCUUGCGGUCUGCUGGCCUUUCUGAUGUCACCAUUGACUGCUAUUAGUAGUUGUGGGGCAUUUUGAAGGGUCGGGAGUGUCUUUGGUCCUAGCAUUGCUCCUUUCCAUGGGCCAGGGACCUGUCUUAUUCCAGCAACACGACCACCUGAGGCUCAGCUGGUCUAACUUACUGACUAGGCUGUGCCAGAGACUUAGGUGCCAUACAUCUAUAUAAGGGUUUUUGAACCCGAA